rnacentral:rRNA from 1 species
CGAAGGAGUGGCGAACGGGUGAGUAAUACAUAAGCAACCUACCCACGAAGACUGGGAUAAUCUCUGGAAACGGGGACUAAUACCGGAUAGGUAAUCGGAAGGCAUCUUCUGGUUAUUAAAGGUUAAAAACACUGGUGGAUGGGCUUAUGGCGCAUUAGUUAGUUGGUGAGGUAACGGCCCACCAAGACGAUGAUGCGUAGCCGGCCUGAGAGGGUGAACGGCCACAUUGGGACUGAGACACGGCCCAG